UCCCACUAGAAAACAGAGAGGACACUGGUGAGGGGAAGCGUGCUGUGCACAGGUGGUGGGCCAGGCAGGAGCAGCCUCUCCUGAGUGCAGCAGGCUGGAGUUGAAGAGAGGAGAGACCCUGCCUCGGGCCACCAUGGGAGGUGACUUCGGAGGGCAGCGUGGUGGUCUCCACAGGAGGCUUCCUGAAUAAGAUGGUCCCAAUGUAACAGGGAUAGGACUGUAUUUCUGUCUUUGAUUCCAUUUUCCUUUUAGGUAACAGUAGCAAAUUCAAAAACUAUAGAAUCAGUCCCAGAUGACUUCGUUAACAAGAAAGAGAAGAUUGAAAGACAGCCCUGGGGCUACACUAACUCGAGUUCCCAGACAAAGUGGCCUCCUGGAACCACGGCCUCUCUUGCCCCAUCCUCGAGAAAGGGUCUUGCUGUGUUGCCCAGGCUGAUCUUGAACUCCUGGCCUCAGUGAUCUUUCUGCCCCAGCCUCCUAAAGUGCUGGGAUUACAGGUGUGAGCCAAUGCCUCAGGCCUGGCUUUAUUUUGCAUUCUUGGAUUCUUAGUGAGUUUGAGUCCCCUUUACACAUCAUAACCCUUGUGAUACUAGUAAACAUAUAUUUUGUCUUUAACCCCAUUUCUGGUAUAUAACUCCUAAAAGCCUUCGUCUUUAAAGUGAUCUCUUUUUAUGUGCUAAUGGGCUGCCUGGAGGCUGGCAGCCCGUAGGUAGCUUCAGGAUGGGGGCUGGUCAUCAGAGAGGCAGAGGCAGGAUUAGAGGGUUGGGACUUUCAUCCUACCAUCCCACAUACUGGAGGGAAGGGCCCUGAGGCUUAAGCUGUUCACCAAUGGCCAGUGAUUUAUUCAAUCAUGCCUUCGUAAUGAAGCCUCCACAAACACCCAAAAGCCCCAAGAGGACAGGGUUCAGAAGCUUCUGGUAGCUGGGCACAUGGAGGCUCUUGGAAGGUAGCGAGCCCUGGAGUUCCACGCCCCCUCACACACGCCUUGCCCUCUGCAUCUCUUCAUUUGUACCUGUUGUAAUAUCCUUUCUAAUAAACUGGUAAAUG